rnacentral:rRNA from 1 species
GUGGGAAAUAUUGGACAAUGGGCGAAAGCCUGAUCCAGCCAUGCCGCGUGUGUGAAGAAGGUCUUCGGAUUGUAAAGCACUUUAAGUUGGGAGGAAGGGCAGUAAGUUAAUACCUUGCUGUUUUGACGUUACCGACAGAAUAAGCACCGGCUAACUUCGUGCCAGCAGCCGCGGUAAUACGAAGGGUGCAAGCGUUAAUCGGAAUUACUGGGCGUAAAGCGCGCGUAGGUGGUUUUGUAAGUUGGAGGUGAAAUCCCCGGGCUCAACCUGGGAACUGCCUCCAAAACUGCAUGACUAGAGUACGGUAGAGGGUAGUGGAAUUUCCUGUGUAGCGGUGAAAUGCGUAGAUAUAGGAAGGAACACCAGUGGCGAAGGCGACUACCUGGACUGAUACUGACACUGAGGUGCGAAAGCGUGGGGAGCAAACAGGAUUAGAAACCCCGGUAGUAC